rnacentral:lncRNA from 1 species
CGAUUCCCUAAUCGUAAAAGAAACACAAACCCUUUUCUUCCCUUCUCCAAUUGCACCGCAAAAACCAUAUCUAAUCAUCCCAUAUCAACCCCUAGACUCUUCACUCCAAAGCAUACUCAGUCCACUCUCCAAUUGAAAACUCUUUACCCCCAUCCUCUCAAGCAAAUCUCGAUUUGUCUUUCCAAUCCAUGUAUUUUUUUUCUUUCUUUUUUGAGGGCUUUUGGUUUUUGAUUUGUUUACUUUUUCUUUGUCAUUUUCCGAAAUAGAUUGUAGUAUUUCAUUGUCACUGUGCGUUGUGUAUAUUUUUGAGAAAUUUGCUUCGUCCUUCCUGAACUUAUUGUCCUAGUAGCAACUUUGCCCCCAACAUUUUAUUAUAGUAGUUGCAAGAUUAAUAGAAAAUGUCCAAAUUUUUAUUAAAUCAUGGCCCUCGUUUGUUCAAUUUUGUGAAGCUAGAUUCUGCUUUCCAAUUUGGAUGGUUGUGGUUAUAUUCUUUUUGCUUUCUGUUUAGCUGGUAAUAUAACUAUUUUCUUAAAGAGAGAGAGAGAGAGAGAGAGAGAACUGGAUUUUGUUGUAGUAUAAUUGAUUUGGGAAUUUAUGUUUAUGAAAUUACAUUUGCGAAUUGUGAUUUAUGAUAAGUGAUUUAUGUUUUAUGAGUUAUGAUUAUUGAUUUGGAAAUUUAAAAAACUUAAGAAUGAGAUAAUAUUGUAACGUUUUCAAAACAUGAGACCCCAUAAAAUACAGUUGUCUAAAUUUACAGUUACAAAGUGACUGAGUAAAGUUGUAGCGUAUAUUUUUUUUUAACAUUUUGGGUUAUAUUGAAGUAUAUUUUCAUAUGUAUAUAAUUUUGAUGUUUUAGUUCAUUUACAUAUAUAUCGAAUAACUUUUAAUAUUAUUAAUCAAAUUUUAAUAAACGAUCGGGCUAUUACAAUAGUUCAUUGUCGACGGUAAACAGUCAACCUCCGUUCUAGCAGAACUUCAAUCUUGGAUUCACGCUUGAUGGUAUGGUCUAUAAUUAAGCAACAAUUUACUUAAACUUUUGUAUUCUUUUUAGCUUGUGUUUCUAUUGGUCAUCUUAUUAUUUAAAAUAUAUCAAAAUAAAUUACACGUUCUUUGGGACGUAAGAAGAAGGCCUUGAAUUUCCAACUUGUUUGAAAUUGUUUGUGAUAUUUUGGCCAAGUAAUCUUUGAAAUAC